rnacentral:rRNA from 1 species
CGGGACACGUGGUAUCCUGUCUGAAUAUGGGGGGACCAUCCUCCAAGGCUAAAUACUCCUGACUGACCGAUAGUGAACCAGUACCGUGAGGGAAAGGCGAAAAGAACCCCGGCGAGGGGAGUGAAAAAGAACCUGAAACCGUGUACGUACAAGCAGUGGGAGCACGCUUAGGCGUGUGACUGCGUACCUUUUGUAUAAUGGGUCAGCGACUUAUAUUCUGUAGCAAGGUUAACCGAAUAGGGGAGCCGAAGGGAAACCGAGUCUUAACUGGGCGUUAAGUUGCAGGGUAUAGACCCGAAACCCGGUGAUCUAGCCAUGGGCAGGUUGAAGGUUGGGUAACACUAACUGGAGGACCGAACCGACUAAUGUUGAAAAAUUAGCGGAUGACUUGUGGCUGGGGGUGAAAGGCCAAUCAAACCGGGAGAUAGCUGGUUCUCCCCGAAAGCUAUUUAGGUAGCGCCUCGUGAAUUCAUCUCCGGGGGUAGAGCACUGUUUCGGCAAGGGGGUCAUCCCGACUUACCAACCCGAUGCAAACUGCGAAUACCGGAGAAUGUUAUCACGGGAGACACACGGCGGGUGCUAACGUCCGUCGUGAAGAGGGAAACAACCCAGACCGCCAGCUAAGGUCCCAAAGUCAUGGUUAAGUGGGAAACGAUGUGGGAAGGCCCAGACAGCCAGGAUGUUGGCUUAGAAGCAGCCAUCAUUUAAAGAAAGCGUAAUAGCUCACUGGUCGAGUCGGCCUGCGCGGAAGAUGUAACGGGGCUAAACCAUGCACCGAAGCUGCGGCAGCGACACUAUGUGUUGUUGGGUAGGGGAGCGUUCUGUAAGCCUGCGAAGGUGUGCUGUGAGGCAUGCUGGAGGUAUCAGAAGUGCGAAUGCUGACAUAAGUAACGAUAAAGCGGGUGAAAAGCCCGCUCGCCGGAAGACCAAGGGUUCCUGUCCAACGUUAAUCGGGGCAGGGUGAGUCGACCCCUAAGGCGAGGCCGAAAGGCGUAGUCGAUGGGAAACAGGUUAAUAUUCCUGUACUUGGUGUUACUGCGAAGGGGGGACGGAGAAGGCUAUGUUGGCCGGGCGACGGUUGUCCCGGUUUAAGCGUGUAGGCUGGUUUUCCAGGCAAAUCCGGAAAAUCAAGGCUGAGGCGUGAUGACGAGGCACUACGGUGCUGAAGCAACAAAUGCCCUGCUUCCAGGAAAAGCCUCUAAGCAUCAGGUAACAUCAAAUCGUACCCCAAACCGACACAGGUGGUCAGGUAGAGAAUACCAAGGCGCUUGAGAGAACUCGGGUGAAGGAACUAGGCAAAAUGGUGCCGUAACUUCGGGAGAAGGCACGCUGAUAUGUAGGUGAAGUCCCUCGCGGAUGGAGCUGAAAUCAGUCGAAGAUACCAGCUGGCUGCAACUGUUUAUUAAAAACACAGCACUGUGCAAACACGAAAGUGGACGUAUACGGUGUGACGCCUGCCCGGUGCCGGAAGGUUAAUUGAUGGGGUUAGCGCAAGCGAAGCUCUUGAUCGAAGCCCCGGUAAACGGCGGCCGUAACUAUAACGGUCCUAAGGUAGCGAAAUUCCUUGUCGGGUAAGUUCCGACCUGCACGAAUGGCGUAAUGAUGGCCAGGCUGUCUCCACCCGAGACUCAGUGAAAUUGAACUCGCUGUGAAGAUGCAGUGUACCCGCGGCAAGACGGAAAGACCCCGUGAACCUUUACUAUAGCUUGACACUGAACAUUGAGCCUUGAUGUGUAGGAUAGGUGGGAGGCUUUGAAGUGUGGACGCCAGUCUGCAUGGA